rnacentral:rRNA from 1 species
CAUCCAGACUCCUACGGGAGGCAGCAGUGGGGGAUAUUGCACAAUGGGGGAAACCCUGAUGCAGCGACGCCGCGUGUAGGAAGACGGUCCUCUGGAUUGUAAACUACUGUCCCCAGGGACGAAGAUGACGGUACCUGGGGAGGAAGCUCCGGCUAACUACGUGCCAGCAGCCGCGGUAAUACGUAGGGAGCGAGCGUUUUCCGGAAUUAAUGGGCGUAAAGGGCGCGUAGGCGGGAACUUAAGUUAGAUGGGAAAACUCCGGGCUUAACCUGGAGACUGCAUUUAAAACUGGGUUUCUUGAGGGCAGGAGAGGAAAGUGGAAUUCCUAGUGUAGCGGUGAAAUGCGUAGAUAUUAGGAGGAACACCAGUGGCGAAGGCGACUUUCUGGACUGUACCUGACGCUGAGGCGCGAAAGCAUGGGGAGCGAACAGGAUUAGAUACCCCCGUAU